UACGGAGGGUGCAAACGUUGCUCGGAAUCAUUGGGCGUAAAGCGCACGUAGGUGGUCCGUUAAGUCGGGAGUGAAAGCCCUCGGCUCAACUGAGGAAGUGCUUUCGAAACUGGCGGACUUGAAUACUGGAGAGGAUCGCGGAAUUCCCGGUGUAGAGGUGAAAUUCGUAGAUAUCGGGAGGAACACCAGCGGCGAAGGCGGCGAUCUGGACAGAUAUUGACACUGAGGUGCGAAAGCGUGGGGAGCAAACAGG
rnacentral:rRNA from 1 species